CUCAGUGGCGCCGUCGUUGUUCGCUAGAGUUUUGUUUCGUUCGUUUCCUAUCGUGUUUUUGGAGUUUGUGAAAAAACAACAAUUAAAUUCGCAGUUUUAAUAAGUGCAAUGUGUUAUUGUUUUUGAGUGCAAUAUCUGGACUGAGACUCUUGAAAAUUAUCGUGAAGAUUUUGAUCCGGCGAGGUUAUUGAUAAAAUUAAACCUCUUCUCCGGAUCACGAUAACUAUUGUGGCAAUUCUGAUGUUUUAAGCAAAAAACUCCAGCUCUAAUUAAAGGUGUAACGCAGAAGGAAUGUUGAAAAAAGUGCCAACGCGGGUGCAGGCGUGAGGCUGGCGGCGACAUGAGCGUGGCGCGGGACGCGGGGGACUCCACGCCGGGCUCCGACGUCACGCGGCUGUUCCCCAAGUGCCGGCCGAGGAUGCACCGCCACGACAGGUA